UACGGAGGUUGCGAGCGUUGUUCGGAAUAACUGGGCGUAAAGGGAGCGCAGGCGGUCCGGCAAGUCUAAAGUGAAAGCCCGGAGCUUAACUCCGGAAGGGCUUUGGAUACUACUGGUCUCGAGUUCGUGAGAGGAAAGCGGAAUUCCAGGUGUAGCGGUGAAAUGCGUAGAUAUCUGGAGGAACACCGGUGGCGAAAGCGGCUUUCUGGCACGAUACUGACGCUGAGGCUCGAAAGCAUGGGUAG
rnacentral:rRNA from 1 species